ACACUUGGUGAACUCAUGUCCUGUUCAAAGUAGCUACGUGUCAUUCUGCCUGUAGCUACUGGAAGAGGAUCAGUUGUGUUGAUUUGAAGCUCUAUGAAACUUGUUCGCCUCCUUGAUCUUGCUCAGUCAGUAAGAGGGACCAUAUACAAUGUCUGUCCAUACACAGACAAACACACACACUAGAGUGUGCUGGAGGCUGGCUUACAGACAUGGAAUCUCCUGGUCACACACUGCUAGUCUCAGAGCCCAAGCCAUCUGCAAGCAUUCAUCUGUGCUACCUGGUAGACGUACCUUCUGAUGAAGAUGAGGGAGGGAGAAUAUCUGAAGAUGAUGAAGGUUCGGGAGGAGUGGAAAGAUGGUGUGGAGGCAGAGAGACGAGAUGGGCCCUCAAGAUAAAGACAGAAGAUGAGAGUUGUACCUGUACAGACGUUCCAAUUGCACAAGCCUGGAUUGUGGGAGUUGACACUCUGCCUAGCAACAGGGCAAAGCCAAGGACUGCUUGUGUUAUUGAGUCCCUCCCAGCACUCAUCUCAAGGUAACCCUGCAUGGACAACUUGUCAAAAUACAGAUUCCCAGGAGCUGUCGUUAUCCCAAGGCUACAUAACGGAAACUGAAAGGGUCAACACGAGCGAGAAGACGACAGACAAACGAAACCUUUUGAGAUUAGAGAGAAAGCGAGCGGGAGACAAUCUGCAAUUCACCCGUGACGAAGAGAACACCCAUCCCUGUGCCAAGAUAAAGCCGUCUCCAUCUUCACCUCUAUCCGUGCCUGACGACCCUCUUCGGGAGACCUCCCCGUCGACCGCUCCUUCAGAGCAGAUCGCCGGGCGCCGAGCCCCGCUCCCCACCGUCUCAAUGAAGGAGCCCGACGCGAUAAAGCUCUUCAUUGGGCAGAUCCCGCGGAACCUGGAGGAAAAAGACCUGAAACCCAUCUUCGAGCAGUUUGGAAAGAUCUAUGAGCUUACAGUGAUAAAGGACAAGUACACGGGCAUGCACAAAGGAUGUGCCUUCCUCACGUACUGUGCCCGCGAGUCCGCUCUGAAGGCCCAGAAUGCAUUGCAUGAGCAGAAGACGUUACCGGGGAUGAACCGGCCCAUCCAGGUGAAGCCUGCUGACAGUGAGGGGAGAGGAGAAGACAGGAAGUUGUUUGUGGGGAUGCUGGGAAAGCAGCAGACGGACACUGACGUGAAGAAGAUGUUUGAGGCCUUUGGCAGCAUAGAGGAGUGCACCGUGCUCCGGGGCCCUGACGGUACCAGCAAAGGCUGUGCAUUUGUGAAGUACCAGAACAACGCCGAAGCCCAGGCAGCCAUUAGCUCAUUGCACGGGAGCCGAACUCUACCGGGUGCCUCAUCCAGUCUGGUGGUGAAGUUUGCUGACACGGAGAAGGAGCGAGGCAUCCGCCGCAUGCAGCAGGUGGCCUCCCAGCUGGGGGUCAUCAGCCCCAUGAGCCUCCACCUCGGGGCCUACAACGCCUACACUCAGGCCGUGAGCAACAAUGCCUACACUCAGGCCGUGAGCAACAACGCCUACGCACAAGCCUUGGUCCAGCAGCAAGCUCUGGUGGCCCAGUCGGCGUACUUGUCUCCCGUGGCAACGGUUGCCUCUUUGCAGAUGCAGCAGCUGGCGGCCCUCAAUCCCAACAGCAUCAUCGCCACACCUAUCGGCACGCCACUUGGCACGCCACUCGCGUCAAUCACUCCUUCCUCAGGAUCAUGUGGCUGUGAGGUGAAUGACCUGCAGUAUUUCUCCGCCAUGUGUGCAGGUACCAGCACGCCUCCAACCAUUGCAGCUACGGCCGUCUCGGCCAUGCCUCCUCCACUCACAGUCAAUAGCUACCCUCCUGCACCGCCCAAUGGGCAGUCAGCCACUGAGUCGCUCUACACCAAUGGGGUGCAUCCAUACCAAGCUCCGAGCCCUGUGCUGGACCCCCUCCAGCAGGCCUACGCUGGCAUGCAGCACUACACUGCCACGUACCCCGCUGCAUACGGAUUGGUCGGACAGCCGUUCCCCCACCAGCCCACCCUCGUCGCCCAGCAACCACAACAGCAGCAGCAACUGCAGCAGCGUGAGGGUAAUCAUGGUUACUACCUGUCCAGGCAGACCCCACUCACAGCAACUUCUUAUCUGAGUCCAGAGGGUUGUAAUAUCUUCAUCUAUCACCUGCCUCAGGAGUUCACUGACUCUGAGAUGCUGCAGAUGUUUCUGCCUUUUGGCAACGUCAUCUCGGCCAAGGUGUUCGUGGACCGCGCCACCAACCAGAGCAAGUGCUUUGGCUUCGUGAGCUUCGACAACCCGGCCAGUGCCCAGGCUGCCAUCCAAUCCAUGAACGGCUUCCAGAUCGGCAUGAAGAGGCUCAAGGUGCAGCUCAAACGACCCAAAGACGCCAACCGGCCCUACUGAGCGUGACGGACAGAGAGAAAGGGAGGAGGAAACGGUGAAUGAGGCUGCCCUGUCCAAUCAAACAGGGUGUGGAGACCACGGCGCUAUGGCUACGGUUACCUAGCAACUAAUAAAGAUUCCCCCUUCUUCCUCUCACAGCGUUGAGGAACAGGACCAAAUGAGGAGUUCAGUGUGGAGGUCUGUCUCUCCUCUGCUGUUUUAAAACAAGGGACCAACUGCUCAGCAAACCAAACCCCAUCUAGCUUCAUGCAUAGGACUAGAAAACUCCAACUGUUCAGAACCCAAUGCGACUGAAGAACACAGGACCAACCCACUACCCUUAAAGCGUAAUGUCAAAAAAAUGUAAAUGAAAAAUAAAAAAAACAAACAAGUACAAUAGCACAGCACACAGCCUAACCCACAACUCUGCCUAAGACGGGCUUGCCAACCCAACUCAUAUCCUGUGAGCAGGCCCCCUCAAGCUUAGAGAGAGAGAGCCAGCCAGACCCAAACAUAUACAGGAAUAGAAAUGCACUGCUCCGCUCAUUCCCACAGAUGGCGCUGUGGGCAUCAUAACUGCGUUUUAUUAAUACCAUUAUUAUACCACUGCCAGAGUCCGUUAUACAUGUAUAUAGAUACGGAGGGGUAUCAUAUGAGGGUGGGGGUGGGAAGGAUAUCAGUUACUUAUGAUAUAGGGCGGGCAAAGGGUGGGGGGAGGGUAGGUGGGGAUGUGGCUCGAGAGACUUUGGGUUUUACUUCCUGUUUUACCUUAACAACUACUGCAAAGCAGUGUGGGUAACCAGGUGGGCAGUAUCACAGUAGACUCUACCCAUCCUGGCAGCCUGAAGGGUUGGUUUGUGGAUGGGUGUGUGAGACACGUGCACAGAUGGGGCAGGAGGCAGAGGGUAAAAGGAGUUGAGAUCAGGUGUCUGAAUAUUGUCGGCAGUAGAGUUAGUUUUUCAAUUGGUGGAAGUUGUUGAGAACAGUGAUUGGGAUGGGGAAACCUAUCAGAAAAUAUCUAACUGUAUAUAUAUCAUGUUUUAAAAAUCAAAUAAAAAAAAAAAGCAUUUGGGCAAAUUUUUUGAAUAUAUCAUAAUUAUGAUUUUAUUAUUAUUGCUCUAUUUAAUAUUUAUCAUUAAGUGGUAGAUGUUUUCUUUUUUUAUUUACUUUUAAUUAAUUUAUUUGUUCCUGAAAUAUCUGAGAUUUAAAGAAUCAAUCUUUUUUUUUAGAAUAUAAUCUUUAUUUCUAGUUAUGAUUACGACAUAUUAAGCCUAAUGGUUCUCUAUUUAUUUAAUUGCUGUUUUACAUGUUAAUUAAAAAAAAAGCUAAAUAAAAAUAUGAAAAUUA